rnacentral:lncRNA from 1 species
CUAAGAUCGACUUUUCUUUAAACAUAAUCAUUCUUAACUUUUAGGGAAAAAAAUCACAUGAAACUAUGUAACUGUGUUUACACUUCCUGUUGGAAAUUCUACAGAAUAUUAUUAAGGUGAUUUAUGCCCAACGUGUGACUCUCAGACAGGCAGCCUCAGCGUCACCUGGAACUUGUUGGAAAUGCAGACUCUCAGGGCACCCCCCUUCUUCCCCGCAGCGACACCUCCUGAGGCAGAAUCUCCAUUUUACCCAGAUCCCCAGGUGAUUUGUAAUGAAUUCAAGUUUGAGAAGCACCCUGCUGUGCAGCUGGACAAUCGAAUGAACUGAGACCAUGCUGAGCAUCUGUGUUGUUGGAGAUGGAAGGAAAAGGGUUACAUCGGAACCCAUCUGGAAGCAUUCUGCUCUAAAUCAAACUGCACUGGUUUGAAAUUUUCCAAAAGGAAACGUUGCUGGGAGAGAAGGACGCUGCCUGUCCCCUCUCCCUCUUUCCAUCCUCCCCCUGACUGGGAGGCGGGAGGAGCCAGCGACAGCCUUGCCUUAGAGAGGAGGAAACCGCGUCUUGGAAGCACAGGCCCCAGUGUUGUUUGUCAGAAGCUGCAUCCUUGCCUUCUCAGCAAUCGUGGCGAACGAUACGAUUUCAAGGGACGAUCCUUUCCUGACUCCAGGGCAGUGUCUCUCUGAUGGCGAAGGUCACCCAAAGAGGAAACCAUCGCAUCUGACACCUUCUGUGCUUCUGGCUCCCCUGAGGGGCACGCCUUUGGUUGCAGCUCAGACUCUCACCUCCAGGCUGUCCCCACGGAUGCCCAGGGGCUGCGCCACCAGGAGCAGUGUGCCCGGAGGCCACAAGCACACCGCGCUCUCGGCUCAGCUUCAACCUGGAGACAGGCUCAGAGAGGAAAGCUCUUUUUCCGUCGCCUCCCUGGGGGCCUUGAGAAGACGUCCUCCUUGUUAGUGGUUCCCAAAUUGCCCUCUGUGUGGUUCUCAAGUCGGGGGUCUUGGAACAGCCUAGAGGGGUCUGCAAGAGGAUGGGGGCACCCAGCUCGGCUGGGGGUGAGAUGAAUGAAGGUCUCCCAUGGCAGUGUUGCUAUUUUUCAAGUAAAUGAGGUUGCUAUUGGGCUUAAUAAAAAUCAAAAUUAGUUUAAGAGCA